rnacentral:tRNA from 1 species
AGGAUUAUAUUUAAUAAUAAUAUUCAAUUUGCAAUUGAAAGGUGUAUAAUUACUAAUCUUA